GAGUAAAACCAAGGACGUGCAAUAUGAGUGUUCAUCAUCCUCUUCUCUUGAUCAUUUUUUGACAAGAAGGAGGGCAACAGACAGGCUUCCAGAGCUCCGUUCCAGACACAGGAUGCUGAAGACAUGCUCCGUAGUUGUAUGGAGCAGAGAGACUUUGCAGUUCCUCAAUAAUGGGGGUUUAUUCUAAAGACAUCUGUAGAAACAGGGAAAUUAGAAAACUAGGCUACAUGGCCACACUCAGAGAGUCCAAGUGAAAGCCCUACAAAGAGGUUCAUGGCAGGGGCAGGGGGCCAGGACCCAGACAGUGAACAGGCAUCAUGGAGAGAGAAACUGGAGCCUGAGAGCUCCUGGGAGCUGGAGAGCUGGCUCUGUGGUCACUGCCCCCAGGAAUCCACCAUUAGGGGGCCUCAGCAAAUGCAUCCCCAAGUCUUGGCUCUCUUGGGAGGACCUUCUGGCCAUUUCCUGUUGCUAGCUUCCUCUUUCCCUUGCCUUUCCGUCGGACAUCUUUGAUCUGCUGUCUGGAUUGUAAAAGAUGCUGGCUGUGCUUUUCCUACUCUGUAGACGUUACAAUGUUGCUGUGUGAGGGCCACUUCCACCAGCCAGCAUCCACAUGCCUAUGUGCCUGGAAACUCUCUCCUGUGCCUGGAGAGGUGGGAGGCAGCUAUAAUCUUGGCGGAAUGAAUACCUACUAGGAGCAACCUUCAUCCAAUGACUAACAGGAGCUGGGGUAUCAAUUCCCCAGCUCCCAGUGCUCAGGGGAACACCAAGACCUAUUCUCCUCGUGGGAGCAAGAAGAUGAAGUGGAGAGGAAGGUUUGAGUCCUUUCUCUCUAUGUAUCUGUCAGGCUAUGCUGCAGUAACAAACAGCCCCCAAUUCUUGGUGGUUGAAAACAACGAAACUUAUUUCUCACUCAUGAAAGAUGUCUAGUGCUGGUCAGCGGGGGGCUUUUCUCUACAGAGUCACUCAGGGACCCAGGCUGGUGUGGGCUCUGCCAUUUUGCAAUGUUGCCAUCUCAGGACAGCAGAAGAGAAGAGAGCACUAGAAAGUGUGGCUCCUGUAAUAAGAUGAUUUCACCUGGAAAUUACACCAGUCAUGUUUGUUCAGAAUCCACUGACCAGAAUGAGUCACAUGACACCCCCUAAUUUUAAGAAGACCCAGUGAUAACCCGCUCACUAAUAUACCCUGAAUUGCCUGCCUUCCUUUCUCUGGCUCGCUUCCCCACUCCCUACUUCCUGAUGCCCUCUGGGAUCACUUUCCAAAUAAAUUAUAUGCACCUGAAC
ensembl:lncRNA novel transcript